GAUGAACGCUGGCGGCGUGCCUAAUACAUGCAAGUCGAGCGAACAGACGAGGAGCUUGCUCCUCUGACGUUAGCGGCGGACGGGUGAGUAACACGUGGAUAACCUACCUAUAAGACUGGGAUAACUUCGGGAAACCGGAGCUAAUACCGGAUAAUAUAUUGAACCGCAUGGUUCAAUAGUGAAAGACGGUUUUGCUGUCACUUAUAGAUGGAUCCGCGCCGCAUUAGCUAGUUGGUAAGGUAACGGCUUACCAAGGCAACGAUGCGUAGCCGACCUGAGAGGGUGAUCGGCCACACUGGAACUGAGACACGGUCCAGACUCCUACGGGAGGCAGCAGUAGGGAAUCUUCCGCAAUGGGCGAAAGCCUGACGGAGCAACGCCGCGUGAGUGAUGAAGGUCUUCGGAUCGUAAAACUCUGUUAUUAGGGAAGAACAAAUGUGUAAGUAACUAUGCACGUCUUGACAGUACCUAAUCAGAAAGCCACGGCUAACUACGUG
rnacentral:rRNA from 1 species